rnacentral:misc_RNA from 1 species
AAGUCGUAACAAGGUUUCCGUAGGUGAACCUGCGGAAGGAUCAUUAACAAGGUUAUGGGUGCACGUCGCGCAAGCGACCUCUCCCCUCUCCUCCACCCGUGUCUACUAUACUCUUGUUGCUUUGGCGGGCCGUGGCCUCCACUACGGGUUCUGCUCGUACGUGCCCGCCAGAGGACCAAACUCUGAAUGUUAGUGAUGUCUGAGUACUAUAUAAUAGUUAAAA